rnacentral:rRNA from 1 species
GGGCCCGCACAAGCAGUGGAGUAUGUGGUUUAAUUCGACGCAACGCGAAAAUCUUACCAGGGCUUGACAUCCCCGGAAGUUUAUGGAAACAUAGAUGUGCCUUCGGGAACCGGGUGACAGGUGGUGCAUGGUUGUCGUCAGCUCGUGUCGUGAGAUGUUGGGUUAAGUCCCGCAACGAGCGCAACCCUUGUCGUUUGUUGCUACAUUUAGUUGAGCACUCAAGCGAGACCGCCGAUUAUAAAUCGGAGGAAGGUGGGGAUGAUGUCAAAUCAUCAUGCCCCUUAUGUCCUGGGCUACACACGUCCUACAAUGGCCAAUACAGAGGGCAGCGAUGUCGCGAGGCAAAGCAAAAUCCCAAAAAAUUGGUCUCAGUUCGGAUUGCAGGCUGAAACUCGCCUGCAUGAAGCCGGAAUUGCUAGUAAUCGCGAAUCAGCAUGUCG